rnacentral:rRNA from 1 species
UCGACCUGAGAUCAGGCAAGAACACCCGCUGAACUUAAGCAUAUCACUAAGCGGAGGAAAAGAAACUAACCAGGAUUCCCCUAGUAGCGGCGAGCGAACCGGGAAGAGCCCAACUUGAAAAUCUCCAGGCCUUGCCUGGCGAAUUGUAGUCUAUAGAAGCGCCCUCUGCGGCAGGUCGCGCCCAAGUCCCCUGGGAGGGGGCGUCAGAGAGGGUGAGAACCCCGUCGGCGCGCGCCUGUCCGCUCCACGAGGCGCUUUCGCAGAGUCGGGUUGUUUGGGAAUGCAGCCCAAAGCAGGUGGUAAAUCCCAUCUAAGGCUAAAUACUGACGGGAGACCGAUAGCGAACAAGUACCGUUGAGGGAAAGAUGAAAAGAACUUUGAAAAGAGAGUUAAAAGUGCUUGAAAUUGUUGAAGGGGGAAGAGAUUGGAAGCCUCGGGUGCCCCAAGGCUUAUGCCGGCCUCACGGCCCGCUGCAUGUGCUGGGUGCUGGUCAACAU